rnacentral:misc_RNA from 1 species
AAAGUCGUAACAAGGUCUCCGUAGGUGAACCUGCGGAGGGAUCAUUCACAUGAUUACCUUUAUAAACAAACUGUGAACUUUAUAUUUACUAUUCGUGUGUGUUUAAUUAUUUCGAUAAUUUCACAUCACACUGUCAUUCGAUGAACAUUAGAUAGCUGGCUUGUAUUUUCGAAUACUUUCUCAGCUGAUUGUUUGUAUUGAUUAAACAUCUUACAACAAUCACCAUAUAAACAUAGAAACAACUCUAUGCCCUGGAUAUCUUGGUUCUC